GAAAUGCGAUAAUUAAUGUGAAUUGCAGAAUUCAGUGAAUCAUCGAGUCUUUGAACGCACAUUGCGCCCCCUGGUAUUCCGGGGGGCAUGCCUGUCCGAGCGUCAUUGCUGCCCUCAAGCACGACUUGUGUGUUGGGCUUCCGUCCCUGGCAACGGGGACGGGCCCAAAAGGCAGUGGCGGCACCAUGUCUGGUCCUCGAGCGUAUGGGGCUUUGUCACCCGCUCCCGUAGGUCCAGCUGGCAGCUAGCCUCGCAACCAAUCUUUUUAACCAGGUUGACCUCGUAUCAGGUAGGGAUACCCGCUGAACUUAAGC
rnacentral:misc_RNA from 1 species